CAUGGAGUCUUGCUGUGUUGCCCAGGCUGGUCUCAAACUUCUGGCCUCAAGAGCUCUUCUCACCUCAGCCUCCCAAAGCACUGGGAUUACAAACGUCAGCUACCAUGCUCAGCCUCAUUCAUUGAUAUAGUUAAACAUUUGUUGAGGACCAGCUCCACGCCCCUGCUGUGCCUGCAUAUGGUAGAACUGAAUUUUGUCCUACUGAAAUUGCUCAUUGCCAUGUGAUUUGCUUUGGCGAAUGAAAUGAAACUGAAGGUGAUGUGUGGACUCUUCUUGGGGGAGGCAUUUCAUUGCCAGUGACAAGAUGAAGUCUCA
rnacentral:lncRNA from 1 species